rnacentral:rRNA from 1 species
UAGUAACGGCGAGUGAAGCGGCAACAGCUCAAAUUUGAAAGCUAGCCUUCGGGUUCGCAUUGUAAUUUGUAGAGGAUGAUUUGGGGAAGCCGCCUGUCUAAGUUCCUUGGAACAGGACGUCAUAGAGGGUGAGAAUCCCGUAUGUGACAGGAAAUGGCACCCUAUGUAAAUCUCCUUCGACGAGUCGAGUUGUUUGGGAAUGCAGCUCUAAAUGGGAGGUAAAUUUCUUCUAAAGCUAAAUAUUGGCGAGAGACCGAUAGCGCACAAGUAGAGUGAUCGAAAGAUGAAAAGCACUUUGGAAAGAGAGUUAAAAAGCACGUGAAAUUGUUGAAAGGGAAGCGCUUGCAAUCAGACUUGUUUAAACUGUUCGGCCGGUCUUCUGACCGGUUUACUCAGUUUGGACAGGCCAGCAUCAGUUUCGGCGGCCGGAUAAAGGCUCUGGGAAUGUGGCCUCCACUUCGGUGGAGGUGUUAUAGCCCAGGGUGUAAUACGGCCAGCCGGGACUGAGGUCCGCGCUUCGGCUAGGAUGCUGGCGUAAUGGUUGU